UUUCUUUUAAACUUUGUCUACUGUCAUUGUUUCAUAAUAUCUCUCAUUUUUAUAUGAUAUUGAUUCAUCUCGUGUCAUUUCGUAUUUGUAGAAGUCGUCUCUUUUAUGUGCUUUUCAUGGUGCACUAGUGUGGGAUCCCACAUCGAUUUGCGAAAAGAACAAGUGGCAGCGAGAACGCUAGGUCUCAGAGGGAGUGGAUUGUGAUAUCACACAUCGAUUCGAGAGAGAAACGAAACAUUUUUUAUAAGAAUGUAAAAACCUCUUCCUAUCAGACACAUUUCAAAAACCUUCCGAGAAAUCUCGAAAGGAAAAACUGAAAGAGGACAAUAACGGCGGGCGGUGAAUUUAUGAUGUUACAAUUGGCGUCCCUGAGAAAAGUACAAAAAGCAUACAUCUGAUCGACAGUUGAGGGGUUGCGAUGGCUGAUAGAUGAUGCAUGAGAUAGCCUCUCUCACUUUCAUGUUUAAAAGCAAGCGGGGUUUGGCAAUUCUGCUAAAAGUUUCCUCCACCCAACUUCUUACCAAACUUUAAACAAACAGCAGAGGUAUCAAAUAGAAAUGAACGAUCAAAAAAGCAAGAAACUUGGACAAAUCUGCAAGCAGACUGAGCAGAACCAUGGAUUUGUCAACAGUCUCUCUCUCUCUUCAAGAAUUAGAAAUGACAUGGAGACAUGCGGACAAGGUUUGCAGACCUGAAUGGAAAGCCAAUUAUCCGAAAGCCUUAGAAUUUUCGUCCCAAUAAUUGAAAGUGUUAUCCAAAUUAGACGAUCCUUGGCAUCAUGUGCUUAACUCUUGGUCCUGGAUGUGAUGGGUAGGACAGACACCGAUAAGUGAUAAGGAGUCAUGGAAAUACAGAAGAAAGUUUCUACUGAUCUGUUCUUGAAGAACUUCUAUGGUCCCAUGCUCAUUGAGUCGUGACCCAAGAGAGGUAGAAAGUUGUAGCCUAUAGGCUUUCUAUUUCGAUCGAUUAUGCAUUACUAUUGUUGUCCCUACUUCUUGUUGAUAUCAAACUUUUAGAACUUCAAA